CGGGGUAUUUAAAUAGUUGUGCAGCUGCUGGCAAUAGGUAUGCAGCACAGGGAUGACUUGGACUCCAGGAUUUCUGUAAGUGAAACAGGAUUUGCUUCAUACCUGCUUAUCUGGAGGAAGUGUGAUUAGACAUUAUACCAGCCUUAUUAUAUGAUGGUGAUGUAAUUGUCUCGCAUUGCCGGUCUUGAGAAAGCUUCGUCAUCGAACCGAAACGUCGACACCAAGGCUUUUUUCGAUGACCAAUAAAAUUCUCCAUUUUUAUGGACUGAUUGGUAUUUCUGCGUGAGUGCACUCUCCACAUUGUGGAAACAUUGCUAUAUAUAUAUAUAUAUAUAUAUGCAGAGAGUUUCAGGCGGCACUCACGGACUCACUCACAAAAGACCGGGGACCCCCAAGUCUGCUUACAACGUUUCGGAUUCAUUAUCCUUCGUCAGUUUCCAUGGUGACUGACUUCACGUAGCUCAGUGUUCCUGCUUCCGCCCGGCGCCGUCUGAUUGUGAUGACGUCAGCGGAAAUACAGGGGGGAGCCGUGCACCGAUCACACUCUCACGUUUUGCACUUUGGUAUAAAGGCACAUAUCCAAUACCAUGAGGCACCUAUGCUUUGGCACAAGUUCACCACCUGAUCCGUCACCCCUGUGCAGGAGCCAGCAACCGGAGCUGUACAGACCAGCAUGACCCUGCAGCAAGUCUCUGCCACAGCUCCCCCUCUGCACUGAUGGCAUUCAGAGCCAUCCAGCUUUGCAGCGGCAGUUAUAACACAGAACGGGAGCACGACUAAAGCUUAUCUGCACUUACUACUCUGUGAGAUCAGUUAGUCCAGGACACAGAGCACGGGAUUCAGGUACCAGAAACAAUGGAGGAAAGGUGCCCCCUUCAGAGCUGAAUCCCAUCAGCAACUGCCUCCAUUGCCUCCAGUAGUUCUGCCCCUGUGUACAAUUAAUAUGCUAAUGCUGCAGGAGACACCUGUAGGAAAAAGACCCUGGGUUCGGCACGCCUACAAAAUGGGAGAAACGCCCCCAUUUUGUAGAAUGUCCCUUUGCCAUCUCAGCAUGUCAAUCAUGCUGCGGCUGAGGUGGAACUGCAAGCGAUCAAGUGAUCUUAUGGGCAAUACACACUUAGCGAUUACACUGAAAGAUAUGAACGAUCUCGUUCAUUAAUGAAUGAGAUAUUGUUCAUAUAUUUUCGUGUGUAUGCACGAACGAUAAACGAUGCGCGGCCCUGCACUCGUUCGUCAUUGGUGCCAGGUCGUUUAUACAUGCAUGCCAAUAUGGACAAUCUCAUCCAUAUUAGCAUGCAGGGCUACGGGGCCGGGUGACGGGGGAGUGAAGAAACUUCACCCCCUCCCCUCCGCCGCCAGGUCAUCCGUCGGCCGUACCGGCCGCCGGGCACCUCAGCGGCAAAUCCGCCAGUAUGUAGGGCACAAUAGCCACUUCAGCUACAAAUACUUCAUGAUUUUAUUGCAUUACAUUCUUCUUACCUGUCUUUACUGUGACUGCAGGGCUGCUAGAACCAUUCUGUUUACCAUCAAAAGCAAACACACUCAUCUCAUACACUGUGCCACAUAGUAGGUUCAAGAAGAAGCAGUAGGUGUCCUUGUUUUCACAUUCUUCCUUGGUGCCAUCUGGGGCGAUGGCACUGGCAGUAUAUUUCACAGCAUUAACAACUGGAUUCCAAUACAGGCAAACAGUAUUUAUAUGGCAAUCACGAAUCACUGUUACAUUCUGUGGGGUACAAUCAGCUGUAAACAGAAAAAAGACCUAUGUUUUAUAUGAAAAAAAACAAUGUAAGAAGAACAUGUGGAAUAUUGAAAUUCUAGACAUCCGUUUCCCCUAACCUAUAUACAGUGUAUGUGUAUGUAUGUAUAUAUAUAUAUAUAUAUAUAUAUAUAUAUACAAACAUACAGGUUGAGUAUCCCAUAUCCAGAUGUUCUGAAAUACGGAAUCUUUUGAGUGAGAGUGAGAUAGUGAAACCUUUGUUUUCUGAUGGCUCAGUGUACACAGACUUUGUUUAAUUCACAAAGUAAUUAAAAAUAUUGUAUUAAAUACCCUUCAGGCUGUGUGUAUAAGGUGUAUAUGAAACAUAAAUGCAUUCUGUGCUUAGACUUGGGUCCCAUCGCCAAGAUAUCUCAUUAUGGUAUGCAUUUAUUCCAAAAUACGGAAAAAUCCGAUAUCCAAAAUAUUUCUGCUCCCAAGCAUUUUGGAUAUGGGAUACUCAACCAUUAUAUAAUAUAUUUAUAUAUAUAUAUAUAUAUAUAUAAUUUUAUUUUAUUAUUUUGUGGUGGAGUGAGCAUCAUAUCAGAAGUGAUGCUUUGCAAACAGUAGUAUACUCUACUUCUAAAUACCCAUUAAAUAUCCAUUGGACGCAGCAGUCACAUUUUUUCUCACAGCCUCCUGAGGUGCAAGAAAAACUGUAAAUAGUCCAUAGCUUGGGGUUCUAAAGCACCCUAACCCAGACUUCAGAUGCCCAAAUGAGAACUUUAGAGGCACAUUAAAUGCUAAUGAGCGUCUGGAGUAACAAUUAAAUAGCUUGUUCAUAUAGAUACGCAUAAGGGGGUGCGGUGCACAAUUGAAUCCCUUAAAAAAAUGUUUUUUUGAGAAUUAAAGGACUUCCUGUUUGAACAUGAGAACUUUCUUGAUAAAGUACCCGUGUGGUACGAAACGCAUUGAAAGCAAGACCAAAUAGAGGAGAUUAUUAUUCACACCAGCACCGGAGCAGUGACGUCACCACCGGGCAGUAUGAAAUACCUGAGUGCCAGAUGCACUGAUCCCUAGGAACAGUCCUAUUACUAUCAGAGACAACGGCUGGACGUAUAUGGGACUGUGUAUCACUGAGCAAACUCUUGGGCACAAGAAGCUCCGCAAUCUUACCCCUAAGGGGCUAUAAUCAUCUAACUUAUAUGUUUAUUUUAUUUCUUUAUUUUUAUGAGAAAGCAACCGCUGUAAAUGAUACGUAUCUUUUUUCCUAAAUAUAGUAUGUACAUGUGCAA